CUCGACCUACCGGCUCCGGCUGGGGAGUGCCCGCCAGAGAAGCCCCAACUCAUGCAGUUAGUGCAGUCUGAGAAAAAUUUAAUAAGUAAAACUUUCAACAACGGAUCUCUUGGCUCUGGCAUCGAUGAAGAACGCAGCGAAAUGCGAUAAGUAAUGUGAAUUGCAGAAUUUAGUGAAUCAUCGAAUCUUUGAACGCACAUUGCGCCCCCCGGUAUUCCGAGGGGCAUGCCUGUUCGAGCGUCAGAACAUCCUCUCAAGCCUGGCUUGGUCUUGGGGCGCGCCGGCUCGGCGUCCCCUAAACAGAGUGGCGGUACCGUUGUGCUCUCCGCGUAGUCACGUAUCUCGCGACAGAGUGGCGAUGGGACCUGCCAAAACCCACCUAUUUUUUUGGAUGACCUCGGAUCAGGUAGGGAUACCCGCUGAACUUAA
rnacentral:rRNA from 1 species